GACGAACGCUGGCGGCGUGCUUAACACAUGCAAGUCGAACGGUAAGGCCCCUCGGGGUACACGAGUGGCGAACGGGUGAGUAACACGUGGGUGAUCUGCCCUGCACUUCGGGAUAAGCCUGGGAAACUGGGUCUAAUACCGGAUAGGACCACUGCAUGCAUGGGUGGGGGUGGAAAGCUUUUGCGGUGUGGGAUGGGCCCGCGGCCUAUCAGCUUGUUGGUGGGGUGAUGGCCUACCAGGGCGACGACGGGUAGCCGGCCUGAGAGGGUGACCGGCCACACUGGGACUGAGACACGGCCCAGACUCCUACGGGAGGCAGCAGUGGGGAAUAUUGCACAAUGGGCGCAAGCCUGAUGCAGCGACGCCGCGUGAGGGAUGACGGCCUUCGGGUUGUAAACCUCUUUCAGCACCGACGAAGCGCAAGUGACGGUAGGUGCAGAAGAAGGACCGGCCAACUACGUGCCAGCAGCCGCGGUAA
rnacentral:rRNA from 1 species